rnacentral:rRNA from 1 species
GUCUUUUAGAAACCUAAAAUUAAAAGUCCGACCUGCCCAGUGAGUAUUUCAACGGCCGCGGUAGCCUGACCGUGCUAAGGUAGCGCAAUCACUUGCCCUUUAAUUGGGGGCUAGUAUGAAUGGUCAGACAAGAGCUUAACUGUCUUAAGGAGACGCAUGAAAAUUAACCUUUAGGUGCAGAGGCCUAAAUAAAAGUGAAAGACAAGAAGACCCUAUCGAGCUUUAAUUUCGUUUCCUUCUAAAAAGGCGUAUAAAUUUUUAUUGGGGCAAUAAGAGAGCAUACCUAGCCUCUCCCCUUUCUUCAGAUAAACCAACUUCUUACGAUACAUUAAAAAUUAUCCUAGAUACCAGCUACCGUAGGGAUAACAGACUAAUUUCCCUUAAGAGUUCACAUUGACAGGGAAGCUUGGCACCUCGAUGUUGGCUUAAGAUAACAGCUAUGAAGCAGCAUUCUAGCACUGUAGGUUUGUUCAACCUUUAAUAUCUUA